ensembl:lncRNA
CCCCCCACGCACUGGGGACGUAGAUCUCCGCUCUCUGUUCAUCCGGCAGCUCGCUCCAGUUGCGUUUGGCCGUGGCCACGCAUGGCUUCUUCACCAAGAAGGCACGAGGCAUGGCGGAUCCCCGACGGAUCCCAGUAGAUCCCACAAGUAGAUCCCGGCUUUGUUCUCAAUCGCAGGGGUUUUUUUUGGCGGGGGGAGGUUUGGGGGGGGGGAAGGGGGGCAGCUUCAGCCUUCAGGUGAUCGAAUUGGGGAUGGAUUUUGGCAAGAAAUCUCAGAUUUCCAGUCUGCUUCGGUGGUGGAUCCUCGAUCUUUGGUCAGUUUCAGUGGUAGAUUCCCAAUCCUUGGUCAGUUUUGGCACCGGAUCCCAGAUUCCUGGUCAGUUUUGGCACCAGAUCCCAGAUUAGUUUUGGCAAUGGAUCCCAGAUUCCUGCUCAGUUUUGGCACCAGAUCCCAGAUUCCAGCUCAGUUUUGGCACCGGAUCCCAGAUUCCUGGUCAGUUUUGGCACAGAUUCUCGGUCAGUUUUGGCACUGGAUCCCAGAUUCUUGCUCAGUUUUGGCACCGGAUCCCAGAUUCCUGCUCAGUUUUGGCACCAGAUCCCAGAUCAGUUUUGGCACCGGAUCUCAGCUGGUCAGUUUUGGCACCGGAUCCCAGAUUCCAGCUCAGUUUUGGCAACAGAUCCCAGAUCAGUUUUAGCACUGGAUCCCAGAUUCCUGGUCAGUUCUGGCACAGAUUCCUGCUCAGUUUUGGCACCAGAUUCCUGCUUGGUUUUGGCACCGGAUCCCAGAUUCCGGCUCAGUUUGGGCACCAGAUUCCUGCUCAGUUUUGGCACCAGAUCCCAGAUUCCGGCUCAGUUUUGGCACCAGAUCCCAGAUUCCAGCUCUGUUUUGGCAACAGAUCCCAGAUCAGUUUUAGCACUGGAUCCCAGAUUCCUGGUCAGUUUUGGCACAGAUUCCUGCUCAGUUUUGGCACUGGAUCCCAGAUUCCUGCUCAGUUUUGGCACCAGAUUCCUGUUUGGUUUUGGCACCGGAUCCCAGAUUCCUGCUCAGUUUUGGCACCAGAUUCCUGCUCAGUUUUGGCACCAGAUCCCAGAUUCCGGCUCAGUUUUGGCAAUGGAUCCCAGAUCAGCUUUGGCACCGGAUCCCAGAUUCCUGCUCAGUUUUGGCACCGGAUUCCUGCUCAGCUUUGGUACCGGAUCCCAGGUCAGUUUUGGCACCGGAUCCCAGAUUCUUGCUCAGUUUUGGCACCAGAUUCCUGCUCAGUUUUAGCAAUGGAUCCCAGGUUCCUGGUCGGCUUGGGUACCAGAUUCCUGCUCAGUUUUGGCACCGGAUCCCAGAUCAGUUUUGGCACCAGAUCCCAGAUUCCUGCUCAGUUUGGGCACCAGAUCCCAGAUCAGUUUUGGCACCAGAUCCCAGAUCAGUUUUGGCACAGAUUCCUGCUCAGCUUUGGUACCAGAUCCCAGGUCAGCUUUGGCACCGGAUCCCAGAUUCCUGCUCAGUUUGGGCACCAGAUCCCAGAUCAGUUUUGGCACAGAUUCCUGCUCCGUUUUGGCACCGAAUCCCAGAUUCUUGCUCAGUUUUGGUUCCAGAUCACAAAUAUUUCAUCAAUUCCAGCAGCGGAUCCCAGAUCCUCGCUCAGUUUCAGCAGCAGAUCCCCGAUCCUCGAUCAGCUCCAGCUCCCAGAUCCUCUCCCUAUUUCAGCUCCAGCUCCUCGGCUCGCUUUGACAUCCCGGAUUUCCACGCUUUCAGCUCCAGAUCCCCAUCCCAAAAAAAAAAGAACCCGAAAUCCUCCAUCAGUUACAACACCGGAUCCCACAAACCUCAAUGGAUCCCGCUCUCAUCCGAGCCCGGAUCCCGACUGAAUCCUUCACCACCACCACCUGCAUCACCAACACCCACCAAUACCUCCAAACACCCGGAAUCACAGCCACGUCACCCAAAAGCUGG